AGCCUGAUCCAGCCAUGCCGCGUGAGUGAAGAAGGCCUUCGGGUUGUAAAGCUCUUUCAGAUGCGAAGAUGAUGACGGUAACAUCAGAAGAAGCCCCGGCUAAUUUCGUGCCAGCAGCCGCGGUAAUACGAAAGGGGCAAGCGUUGUUCGGAUUUACUGGGCGUAAAGGGCACGCAGGCGGUCCUGCCAGUCAGGGGUGAAAGCCCGGGGCUCAACCCCGGAACUGCCUCUGAUACUGCAGGACUAGAGACUAGGAGAGGGUGGUGGAAUUCCCAGUGUAGAGGUGAAAUUCGUAGAUAUUGGGAGGAACACCAGAGGCGAAGGCGGCCACCUGGACUAGAUCUGACGCUCAGGUGCGAAAGCGUGGGGAGCAAACAGGAUUAGAUACCCUGGUAGUCCACGCCGUAAACGAUGAGUGCUAGUUGUCGGGAUUUCGAUUUCGGUGACGCAGCUAACGCAUUAAGCACUCCGCCUGGGGAGUACGGUCGCAAGAUUAAAACUCAAAUG
rnacentral:rRNA from 1 species